rnacentral:rRNA from 1 species
GACAGAGGGGGCAAGCGUUGCUCGGAAUCACUGGGCGUAAAGGGCGCGUAGGCGGGAUGGCAAGUCGGUCGUGAAAUCCCUCGGCUCAACCGAGGAGCGUCGGCCGAUACUGCCGUUCUUGAGGGAUGCAGAGGAGACUGGAAUUUCCGGUGUAGCGGUGAAAUGCGUAGAUAUCGGAAGGAACACCAAUGGCGAAGGCAGCCGCCUGGGCCUGAUCUGACACUGAGACACGAAAGCGUGGGGAUCAAACAGG